UACGUAGGGUGCGAGCGUUGUCCGGAAUUAUUGGGCGUAAAGAGCUCGUAGGCGGUCUGUCGCGUCGAUCGUGAAAACUUGGGGCUUAACCCUGAGCUUGCGGUCGAUACGGGCAUGACUGGAGUUCGGCAGGGGAGACUGGAAUUCCUGGUGUAGCGGUGAAAUGCGCAGAUAUCAGGAGGAACACCGGUGGCGAAGGCGGGUCUCUGGGCCGAUACUGACGCUGAGGAGCGAAAGCGUGGGGAGCAAACCGG
rnacentral:rRNA from 1 species